GGUAACGGGGUGUUAGGGCACGACACCGGAGAGGGAGCCUGAGAAACGGCUACCACAUCCAAGGAUGGCAGCAGGCGCGCAAAUUACCCAAUCCCGACACGGGGAGGUAGUGACAAUAAAUAACAAUACGGGGUUCUUUCGGAUUUCGUAAUUGGAAUGAGUACAAUUUAAAUCUCUUAACGAGGAACAAUUGGAGGGCAAGUCUGGUGCCAGCAGCCGCGGUAAUUCCAGCUCCAAUAGCGUAUAUUAAAGUUGCUGCAGUUAAAAAGCUCGUAGUUGAAUUUCGGGACCAUCAUGUCGGUCGUGCCUCGGUACGUACUGGUAUUGUUGGUUUCUCCCUUCUGACGAACCAUGAUGUCAUUUAUUUGGUGUUGUGGGGAAUCAGGACUGUUACUUUGAAAAAAUUAGAGUGUUUAAAGCAGGCUCACGCUUGAAUACAUUAGCAUGGAAUAAUGAAAUAGGACGUUUGAUUCUAUUUUGUUGGUUUCUAGGAUCGACGUAAUGAUUAAUAGGGAUAGUUGGGGGCAUUAGUAUUCAAUUGUCAGAGGUGAAAUUCUUGGAUUUAUUGAAGACUAACUACUGCGAAAGCAUUUGCCAAGGAUGUUUUCAUUAAUCAAGAACGAAAGUUAGGGGAUCGAAGACGAUCAGAUACCGUCGUAGUCUUAACCAUAAACUAUGCCGACUAGGGAUCGGAUGAUGUUAAUUUUUUAAUGACUCA
rnacentral:rRNA from 1 species